GGUGCAUGGUUGUCGUCAGCUCGUGUCGUGAGAUGUUGGGUUAAGUCCCGCAACGAGCGCAACCCCUACGUCUAGUUGCUAACGCGUGAAGGCGAGCACUCUAGACGAACUGCCGUUGACAAAACGGAGGAAGUGGGAUGACGUCAAAUCAUCAUGCCCCUUAUGUUCUGGGCUACACACGUGCUACAAUGGCCGGUACAGACGGACGCAAAGCCGCGAGGUGGAGCAAAUCCUAAAAAGCCGGUCUCAGUUCGGAUUGCAGGCUGCAAUUCGCCUGCAUGAAGUCGGAAUCGCUAGUAAUCGCAGGUCAGCAUACUGCGGUGAAUACGUUCCCGGGCCUU
rnacentral:rRNA from 1 species